rnacentral:rRNA from 1 species
UACAGAGGGGGCAAGCGUUGUUCGGAAUUACUGGGCGUAAAGGGCGCGUAGGCGGCCCGCUAAGUCGAACGUGAAUCCCCGAGCUCAACUCGGGAACUGCGUCCGAUACUGGCGGGCUUGAAUCCGGGAGAGGGAUGCGGAAUUCCAGGUGUAGCGGUGAAAUGCGUAGAUAUCUGGAGGAACACCGGUGGCGAAGGCGGCAUCCUGGACCGGCAUUGACGCUGAGGCGCGAAAGCUAGGGGAGCAAACGGG